GCGCAGUGCGCUGCUGGGCCCGAGGCUGGGGCGCGGGGCGGAUGGUGUGUCACGUGCCCGGCGGUCGUUCCACAGCCUCUGCAGCCGCCGCCCCCCUCCUCUGCCUGCGCCAUCGCCCCACCCGGAGGCCAUCGGGGCGCUCCGGGCGGCGCCGAAGCUGUGGUCCCUCCGGAGGCGUCUUUGGGAAACUCUGGGCAGCCUCCGCUGGGAAAUUUAGACUGAGGCAGACCAAGGUAUAAUUCAAGUGGCAGUCCAUCCAUCUGGGACCUGAGACCCCACCUUUGAUGUGAGGACCCUGAAACAGACUGUUCCAGGUGGUACAGUGGAUAAGAAUCUGCCUGCCAACCAAGGGGACACGGGUUUAAUCCCUGGUCUGGGAAGAUUCCACAUGUUGCAGGGCAACAGCAGCAUGCGCUGUAAUCCCAUGCGCCACGACUGAGCCCACAUGCUGCGACUACUGAAGCCUGUGUUCCACAACUGGAGAGUAGCUCCCAUUUGCUGCAACUAGAGAAAGCCCUUGAAGAGAAAGCAGCAUUGAAGACCCAGCCCAACAAAAAUAAUAAAAUUAAUAAUAAUAAUGAAAAAUUCUUGAAUCACUUGAGCGUUCUGACAUGAUCCCUCAAUGCCCCCCAAAACAAGGCUACUCCUCUACCUAAGCACAACGCAUCCCUUCAAAUCAGGAGCCUCGCUUUGGGAUGUGAACAUAUCUAAUCCUCAGACCCUACGUCCAGUCGUCCAAUAAAGGCCUUCAGAGCAGAAAGACCCAUUUCAGAUCACGUGUCACCUUUACUGCUUGUCCUUUCCUACAGAGUGAGAUGUUCCAGGCUCAUUUUAUGCCUGCCCUGCUACAGCGAUUUCCCCAAGGAGCCCUGAUUCCUUUUGCUGGAGAGGAAGAUUUAGAAGCCAGGAUCUGGGUAUUCAUUCUCACGGCCCUUGCCCAUGUUGGACCCUCGCUCGGGGAGUAACCAUGCAGGGUUGGAGCUGGAGGCCGCAAGGCUCCAGAAGUGGAACUGGUGGAUGCCUGUGUUGAGAGGGGAGUCACAGUUUUCUCAGGGAUUUGAGGGAAGAAUUAGUGAUAGAAAAUUAAAAGACAAGGCAAUAAUUAACUACAGGAAAAACAUAGCAAAACACACACCAGAAAGGAAAUUUAAUCAUAGUAUACCGUGUGGCUCGGCUAUAAAUCAUAUUUAGAUGUAUGUGUAUGUAUGUGUGUUUAGUCACCCAGUCAUGUCAGAUUCUUUGUGACUCCAAGGACUGUGUAGCCCACCAGGCUCCUCUGUCCAUAGGAUUCUCCAGGCAAGAACACUGAGUGGGUUGCCAUUUCCUUCUCCAGGGGAUCUUCACAACCCAGGGGUCAAACUCCGGUCUCCUGCAUUGCAGGCAGAUUCCUUACCGUGGAGCCACCAGGUACCCCGCUGGCCAGCUUCCUGUGUUCAUCCAGACCUAUCUGUGCUCUGACCUGGGGACCAUACUCCACACACGGUUCUCCCUUCACUCCUCUCUUGGAGACGGUCAAGCAUCUCUUGAUGAGCGUAAGCAUCUCUCUGGAGUGUUCCACGGUGGCUCCGAAUCAAGACAGCCAGUAGGUUUGCCUGAAGCUCCAGAAGGAACUUGCCGGAAAUUGGUGGCAACUUGAACCCAGGCUCCUUCUGGCCUCUGGAUUUCAUUCUGAUACCAGACCACCCAGGCAGCUGGCGUGUACCAAGAGCGAGCUGAGCUCUGUCUGGAAGCCAUAUCUGAGAGACUGUGCUGCGGGUGCCUGAAGCCACAUACGGGAUUGUCAACCUGCGCUGGUUUCUCUCUGCCAGAAAGGGACAGUUGCAAGAAUGUUCCCCACUGACUCUGUAGCAUGUGCCGGUGUGGAGCGUGUGUGUGCUCCAUCAUGUCCAAUGCCUUCCGACCCCAUGGACUGUAACUUGCCAGGCUCCUCUGUCCAUGGAAUGUUCCAGGCAAGAAUACUGGAGUGGGUUGGCAUUUGCUACUCCAGGGGAGAUAGGAAUGGUUACCCACUCCAAUAUUCUUGCCUGGAGAAUUCCACGGACAGGGGAGCCUGACAAGCUAUGGUGCUUUCACUUUCACUCCAGGGGAUCUUCCUGACCCAGGGAUUGAACUGGCAUCUCCUGCAUUGGCAGGUGGAUUUUUUACCGCUGAGCCAUCUGGGAAGCCCUGUGCAUGUGUGGAGGUCCCCUCUGUCCCCCAGGGCAGCUGGGAAGGACACAGAGACUACAUCUAAGACCCAAGAGAGAAGAUCGGUCUUCCCUUAGGGACUUGUAGGUUCCGGGUGAUCCCCAGGAGGUGGAGCUGAAGCCUGGGCACGUUGGCAAGUACAGGAGGAAGGACUGACUGCUGGAUGGGCAGCUUUGCUGGCAAGUUGGCCUCCCCAGCCACAUUCUCGAAGACUCUGCACUUUCCAGGGGCUUCCAGGUCAUCAGUAGGCCCCUGGGGAGGGAGACCUGGGAGUCACAUCCCAUCAGGGCUGCCAGGACCCGAGAGAGAACUGUGGUGCCCUAUACCAAGGUCACAGGUGUGAAGCCCUGUACCAAGGUCACAGGAUAAAAAUCUCUGGGACUGACCAAGCUCCAUAGCAACUUUUGCUGUGAGCCUCCGGAUCUAAACCAGCCAGUCCCCUGAUCCCACAUUUGGUAAAAUACCCACCCACCCUAUAGCAUCCUAACUAAUUACCUAAUGCCACCAUUCCAGUAGGAAUUUCUUUAUCUUGAAGCUCUGAAAAUUUGGCUACUAGCCUGUGAAAAGAUUCGACUCUCCCUUGAGCGAGUCUGCUGUGCUAACAGCGUCUCCCACUCUAAUAAACUCUGCUCGCCUCUCA